rnacentral:rRNA from 1 species
AAUCAACGCUGGCGGCGUGCCUCAGACAUGCAAGUCGAACGAUUAAAGCUCUCUUCGGAGAGUGCAUAAAGUGGCGCACGGGUGAGUAACACGUAAGUAAUCUACCCUCGAGUGGGGGAUAACGUCCGGAAACGGACGCUAAUACCGCAUAAUGCAGCGGCACCGCAAGGUGACAGUUGUUAAAGAUUUAUCGCUUGAGGAGGAGCUUGCGGCAGAUUAGCUAGUUGGUAAGGUAAUGGCUUACCAAGGCUACGAUCUGUAACCGGUCUAAGAGGACGGUCGGUCACACUGACACUGAAUAACGGGUCAGACUCCUACGGGAGGCAGCAGUCGGGAAUUUUGGGCAAUGGGCGAAAGCCUGACCCAGCAACGCCGCGUGAAGGAUGAAGUAUUUCGGUAUGUAAACCUCGAAAGAAUGGGAAGAAUAAAUGACGGUACCAUUUAUAAGCUCCGGCUAACUACGUGCCAGCCGCCGCCGUAAAAC